rnacentral:rRNA from 1 species
AUUGAACGCUGGCGGCAGGCCUAACACAUGCAAGUCGAGCGAGCGGCGGACGGGUGAGUAAUGUAUGGGGACUGCCCGAUAGAGGGGGAUAACUACUGGAAACGGUGGCUAAUACCGCAUACUAUCGGAUAACCCAUAUGGGAUUAGGUAGUAGGUAAGGUAAUGGCUUACCUAGGCGACGAUCCCUAGCUGGUCUGCGAGGAUGAUCAGCCACACUGGAACGGAGAAACGGCCCGGACUCCUACGGAGGCAGCAGUGGGGAAUAUUGCACAAUGGGCGAAAGCCUGAUGGAGCAAUGCCGCGGGUGUGAAGAAGGUCCUAGGGUUGUAAAGUACUGUCAGUGGGGAGGCGUUACCGACAGAAGAAGCACCGGCUAACGCCGUGCCAGCAGCCGCGGUAAUUC